CUCCUGCACUGGGAGCAUGGAGUCUUAGCCUCUGGACCACCAUGGAAGUCCCCUAAGCAGAAUUUGUUGGAUUGAAGGCUGUUAAGGUGUGAAUGACGACUGAGGAUGCAGAUGAAGAAGUCAGCAGAGGUCUAGUUUUUAAAGACUUGGCAGGCCAGGGUAACAGAAUAUUCAUUGGGACCCUGCCUGAAUUUGUGGACUGGUUAAUAUAACCAGUGGUGGACACAGUGCCUGUUGAAACUAUGCACCUCCACAUUUCGAGAGAAAGGUUAAUGUUCCUCAUCGCCUGAGGCCCGGUUGCAGUCUUUAAACCUGUUGUUUCAUGCACGGUGUCACGUUUGCUUUGUUGGUUUGAGACAGGAGUGUAGAAUCUAGUCCCUGUUACUCUUCACCUUGAGCGGAAGCCAGCGUUCCUUCCUUUGUUUUCUUGACUUGGGAUUUUAAGUAGUCUCCGAAGAAGGUCAAAAGCAAGAGCCCAGAGCCAUGGCCUGCCUCUCUGGUGCAGGUGAAGUUUAAUAAUAAAGGAAUCUCAUAAAAUAGGGUUUCCCUCAUGGCUCAGCCAUAAGGAAUCCGACUGCAAUGCAAGAGACACAGGAGAUGCCAGUUUGGUUCCUGGGUCAGGAAGAUCCCCUGGAGGAGGGCAUGGCAACCCACUCCAGUAUUCUUGCCUGGAGAAUCCCAUGGACAGAGGAGCCUGGCAGGCUACAGUCCACAGGGUUGCAAAGAGUUAGACAGGACUGAAGCGACUGAGCACGCAUGCAUGAAGUAAACUGUAAGUGAAAAACCAUUGAAAACCCCACCAGCUUACUUAGAAUAAAAUAGCUACCUAUGAAGGUGGAUUUUAAAUCUUGUUCCGUCUACAUAUUUUCAACUUUUUAUUAUGGGAAUAUGAAAACACGUACAAAAAAUAGAGAAACUAAUGCUAUGAGUGCCAAUGUGUUAUCCAGCUUCAACCAUCAUCAACAAUAAUCUCUUAUUGUUUCAUCUCUUUCCUCACAGCUUGGUCUUUACGUGAGAAUAUUUUAAAGC
ensembl:lncRNA